CCAUGCCGUAAACGAUGAGCACUAGGUGUCGGGCAAAAGCUCGGUGCCGGCGUAAACACAAUAAGUGCUCCGCCUGGGGAGUACGUUCGCAAGAAUAAAACUCAAAGGAAUUGACGGGGACCCGCACAAGUAGCGGAGCAUGUGGUUUAAUUCGAAGCAACGCGAAGAACCUUACCGGGGCUUGACAUAUAUCUGACCCUCUUAGAGAUAAGAACUUUCUUCGGAACAGAUAUACAGGUGGUGCAUGGUUGU
rnacentral:rRNA from 1 species